GUAGCAUGAUGUGGGCAUCACCUUAAUAGAUCUUUGAACCUCUCCCAAGCUUUAUACAAUGACUCUAAGUCUUGAUGAGUGACAGAGAUGAUUUCAUUUCUCAUCUU